AGAAAAGAGGCAGAAAACGAAAACCAAAAAGAGUCAAAGUUCUAAGAAGAGCAAAUCCAUUUUGUCUAUUCAAGAUCAGGAAGGCAGUCACAAGGACUUAACAGCUUCAAAUGAUAAUCUAGAAGAUGUGAACCCUCUGCCAGAGCCAAUGGAGAUGGGUGAGUCAGGUAAAAAUACUCAUGGUGAUCAGUAUGGUGGUGUGGUAGAGGAGGUGCACGAACCUGAUGUAAAUACUGAUAAGAGCGACACCAUAAAUUUCAAGCAAUAUUUUGUUUCUGGACAACCAGGAGAAGUUGCAUCAAAGAAACCAAUGAAACCAAACAGAGACACAAAAGCUAGCAGAAAAUCGAAGGUUGGCGUGACUCCUGGAGGAUUUUUGGAAGAUACCUCGAAAUCAAGAA
rnacentral:misc_RNA from 1 species